AGUCGCCGUAAGGCACUGAGGAGGCCGAGAGAUGAGGCCAGAGCCCACCAAGUUCUGGGAAGGUCUUUCUGACACAAGUAAGAUAACAUCUCUGCCAUGACCUUGCUCCUCUGCUUACACUGGAGUCAUCUUUCUUUUGCUUGAAGAAUAUCCGUUAGGAUUUGCUGUAAUAUGUAAUUCCUCAAGAAUAUUUUUGCUGAGUAUCCUUUAUACAUUUAUACUUAGAAUACUUUGCAAGUAUCAAGAUGUGGAUGGCGGCCAGGUGCAGUGGCUCAUGCCUGUAGUCCCAGCACUUUGGGAGGCUGAGAUGGGUGGAUCACUUGAGCUCAGGAGUUCAAGACCAGCCUGGCCAACAUGGUGAAACCCCGUUUCUACUAAAAGUACAAAAAUUAGCCGCGCAUGUGGCGUGCACCUGUAAUCCCAGCUUCUCAGGCGGCUGAAGCAGGAGAAUCGCUUGAACCCAGGAGAUGGAGGUUGCAGUGAACAGAGAUCACGCCACUGGAGUCUUACUCACUCCAGCCUGGGCAACAGACCCACAGGUGCUGAGAACAAGAGAAAUCAAGUGAAGGAAGGAGGCGGAGUUU
rnacentral:sRNA from 1 species